rnacentral:tRNA from 1 species
UACAUUUUAGUAUAUGAUGUACCAAAGCUUUUGAUGCUUUAAGAGAUAGUUUAAUUCUAUUAAAUGUAA